rnacentral:snoRNA from 1 species
AGUCUACCUCAAUGCCAGGCGGCGACUCUGUUCACAGGCUGCGCUGAGCAUAAUUCAAAAAUAGACUGAUAGUAAAUGAAGUUUUAAUAUCCUAGUGCUCAAAGAUCACACAACCUCUUUCCGCUCUCUUGGAACUUAAAACCACA